ensembl:snoRNA
GUGUACAAAUUCACUCUGCACCCAGCUGCAGCCCCAGGGGGGGUGCUUUUUCUGUAUUCUAUAGAAACAUCCCCAAGUGGUGUGAUCACCUUAACCCAUCAAGGGCAAUGCAACCUCGUGGGGAUGCGGGG